CAAUAGAACCCCGAAUAGUGGAGUUCUACUGUCGCAUACAAAGAAAUUAAAAAAUUAUUUAAAAUAUUGAGGUUCUUCGGUGGAGUCGGUGGUCGGUGGAGUUCUUCUGUCUUUGGAUUUUGGAGUUCUACGGUCGCCAUACGCCAUACCAAAGUAAAUUGCGUUUUGGACUUGGGGUCUCAGAGGUGUCCAAUAGAUGACAUAGGCGUCGUCGUUUUCAUGUGAUGGCGGAUUGUUGUGUUGAGUGGUUAUCAAAAGUUUUCCUAUUUUUCCAUGAAAAUUACCGAUUAAUUCAUAAGUAAAUUCAAGUGUAUUUAUGUGCAACUUGUUUGUGAUGUGAUUUAUUCUGUAUGUGUGCUGGAUCAAAUUCAAAAUUCCUCAAUCUAACCUGUAAGGAAGGAAACAGUAGCAUACAAGUAGCCUACCAUCACUACCACCAACUCUUUUAUUAAAAAUCUUCGUUCUGCUGAAUGCAUCAUGCAGUUAAUACAGGGAAAGCUAUGCAAAAUAUCAUAUCAUCUAGGCCAUGGGUAAUCUUCAGGUUUAUUGCAGCAGCUUAAGAGAAGAAUGUGAACAAAUUCAGGGCACUGGGCACAUACCAACAUGUGUUGUAAUUGUAUUUUUCUGAAUGUUAAACCCGAGCAGUAGAUUCAACAUGACUAACUGUUUGAUGCCAAAAGUUAGUUGGAACUCAAGUCAUUGUACGUACUCUAACACAGAUUACUCUGGUGCUGUUGCCUUACAGCCACAGGAAGGAAAAUGAUUCUUUUCUUCAGAAAAUUGGAAAGCUGCUGGAGUAAUCUGGUGUUCAUGCUCAUUUGAUUCAUUUCGUGCCAGCUAGUGAAAGCCGAAAGGCAUGUCAAUUCAAUUGAGUUGCUCCGUGCUGUCUCGAAGCAAGCAAUCCAGCCGUUGCGUUCAGUCAUUUGGAACAGGAAUCUAAUGGCUGUCAAUAGGUGGCUGUGAAUAAGUGACUGAAAUAAUGUCCACCAGGUAGCGCGAGUGUCUUCAGGGACGCAUAGCGGCCAUUUUGUUCCAAGACGCAGCAGGAAAUGGGUUGUGAGUUGUGACGUUUCUUUCGAUGAAAAUUAAAAGGUGAUUUAGCACGUAGAAACCAAUUUGCCAAAUCAUUCAACUCAGACUUGGAAGUGCCUGUACAUUUCCGAAAUGGCGUGCCUCGUGUGUCUCGCUGCCCGUUCUUAGACGUACGUCUCAUCCCAUGCAACAGCAAAAAGUAAUUAUUUUAAUCAAAUGUCUUACAAAUUACAGUUUUAGAUAACAUGACUAGAGAGUAGACCAAUUUGCUCGACUACUAUAGAAAUUUUGAAUCAGAUAUCAAAGUCAUUCUGUUGAGCUGCGUAGUCUUCUGUUACUCUUUGUAUUCUUUUGUUAAAAUGAGUAUGCAUGUGUACACAGUUGUGUUUCUCGAAAAUAAUUUUCUUUUCUUAAAUAGGUAUAACAAA